AGGGACACUAUAGUCACCUGAACAACUUUAGCGUAAUGAAGCAGUUUUGGUGUAUAGAACAUGCCCCUGCAGCCCCACUGCUCAAUCCUCUGCCAUUUAGGAGUUAAAUCCCUUUGUUUAUGAACCCUAGUCACACCUCCCUGCAUGUGACUUACACAGCCUUCCAUAAACACUUCCUGUAAAGAGAGCCCUAUUUAGGCUUUCUUUGUUGCAAGUUCUGUUUAAUUAAGAUUUUCUUAUCCCCUGCUAUGUUAAUAGCUUGCUAGACCCUUCAAGAGCCUCCUGUAUGUGAUUAAAGUUCAAUUUAGAGAUUGAGAUACAAUUAUUUAAGGUAAAUUACAUCUGUUUGAAAGUGAAAC